GACGAACGCUGGCGGCGUGCUUAACACAUGCAAGUCGAACGGAAAGGCCCUGCUUUUGUGGGGUGCCCGAGUGGCGAACGGGUGAGUAACACGUGAGUAACCUGAUCUUGACUUUGGGAUAACUUCAGGAAACUGGGGCUAAUACCGGACAGGAUCUCCUGCAGCAUGGUGGGGGUUGGAAAGUUUCGGCGGUGGGGGAUGGAAUAGCGGCUUAUCAGCUUGUUGGUGGGGUAGUGGCUUACCAAGGCUUUGACCGGUAGCCGGCCUGGGAGGGUGACCGGCCACAUUGGGACUGAGGUACGGCCCAGACGCCAACGGGAGGCAGCAGUGGGGAAUAUUGCACAAUGGGCGGAAGCCUGAUGCAGCAACGCCGCGUGCGGGAUGACGGCCUGCGGGUUGUAAACCGCAUUCGCCUGUGACGAAGCGUGAGUGACGGUAAUGGGUAAAGAAGCACCGGCUAACUACGUG
rnacentral:rRNA from 1 species